CCUACGGGAGGCAGCAGUCGAGAAUCAUUCACAAUGGGGGAAACCCUGAUGGUGCGACGCCGCGUGGGGGAAUGAAGGUCUUCGGAUUGUAAACCCCUGUCAUGUGGGAGCAAAUUAAAAAGAUAGUACCACUAGAGGAAGAGACAGCUAACUCUGUGCCAGCAGCCGCGGUAAUACAGAGGUCUCAAGCGUGGUUCGGAAGCCCUGGGCGUAAAGCGUGCGUAGGCUGUGUCGUAAGUCGUGUGUGAAAGGCGCGGGCUCAACCCGCGGACGGCACAUGAUACUGCGAGACUAGAGUAAUGGAGGGGGAACCGGAAUUCUCGGUGUAGCAGUGAAAUGCGUAGAUAUCGAGAGGAACACUCGUGGCGAAGGCGGGUUCCUGGACAUUAACUGACGCUGAGGCACGAAGGCCAGGGGAGCGAAAGGGAUUAGAUACCCCAGUAGUC
rnacentral:rRNA from 1 species